rfam:Parcubacteria bacterium GW2011_GWA1_50_14 TY56_C0001, whole genome shotgun sequence.
GGAAGGAUGCCGGAGUGGUCUAACGGAACGGCUUGGAAAGCCGUGACUCGCAAGGGUUCCGUGGGUUCGAAUCCCACUCCUUCCG